rnacentral:rRNA from 1 species
UAGGGAAUCUUCCGCAAUGGGCGAAAGCCUGACGGAGCAACGCCGCGUGAGUGAUGAAGGUCUUCGGAUCGUAAAACUCUGUUAUUAGGGAAGAACAAAUGUGUAAGUAACUAUGCACGUCUUGACGGUACCUAAUCAGAAAGCCACGGCUAACUACGUGCCAGCAGCCGCGGUAAUACGUAGGUGGCAAGCGUUAUCCGGGAUUAUUGGGCGUAAAGCGCGCGUAGGCGGUUUUUUAAGUCUGAUGUGAAAGCCCACGGCUCAACCGUGGAGGGUGAUUGGAAACUGGAAAACUUGAGUGCCGCAGAGGAAGGUGGAAUUCCAUGUGUGGCGGUGGAAUGCGCAGAGAUAUGGAGGAACACCCGUGGGGAAGGAGACUUUCUGGUCUGUAACAGACCAUGAUGUGCGAAAGCGUGGGGAUCAAACAGG